rnacentral:misc_RNA from 1 species
GAUGAAGAAUGCAGCGAAAUGCGAUAAGUAAUGUGAAUUGCAGAAUUCAGUGAAUCAUCGAAUCUUUGAACGCACCUUGCGCUCCUUGGCAUUCCGAGGAGCAUGCCUGUUUGAGUGUCAUUAAAUUCUCAAGACCUGUCUGCUUUUUUGAUAGGUAUUGGAUUUUGGGGGUUGCAGGCUGUUUCAAAUAAAUAGCCUUGCUCUCCUUGAAUGUAUUAGUGGAGAAAAGCCAUUGAACUCCAUUGGUGUGAUAAAACCUAUCAAUGCCAGGAGCAAUAUCACUACUUCUCUCUGCUGUCUAACUGUGACUGUCUGUAUUAAUUAGUAUGGAUGGGGACAACUUGACCAACUUGACCUCAAAUCAGGUAGGACUACCCGCUGAACUUAAGCAUAUCAAUAAGCGGAGGA